AUAAAAGACCUAGAUCACUUGGCUGCCAUGUCAUAAUGAUACUCAAGCAACCUAUUGGAAAUGCCCACAUGAUGAGGAACUAAGACCUCCUGCCAAUGGCCACAACCCUUUUACACUCUUAAAAUUGAGGACCUUAAAGAGCUUCUGCUUAUUACAGUUUUUAUCUAUCAUAUAUCGUAAUAUGCACCCUGUUUUAUACCUGUGGUGAAAAAUCUCCCCCUGUAUUGGAGAAGAGCUAUUAUACAACAGUCAGUUGAUGAUGGACUGGUAUAGAGGUCCCCUCCCAGCUCUCAUUUUCUUUGCUUCUGAGAAAUGUUAUGGACAAGUCGGCCGCAACUCUCCCACGUCCUGUGAGCUCACCAGGUGCAGAUUAUGGAUCGUGCUGCAAGGAUGACACAUAGAACUGAGGCCACUGCACGACUUAGUGCAUGGAGUCCUGUGGCUCCCGCACAAACAGAGAGACUGGGAUGAUACGGGCGUGGCAUGUUGUCCUCCACACAGAGAUCCCUUCUGCCUGCCUUUCUGAGAGCUUCCCUAUAAGAAACUGCACCCAGCGACAACUUGGCCUGGUAAGAACAGGUCUACCAGAUGUUGAAAGUAAAUCUGGUUUGUUCCCCAGAGGAUAAUAUCUAAUUAUCAUGCACACAUAUGCAAUAUAGAAAUUUGAAGUAUGGAAUUAUAUUUGGAGUUUUCUUCAUAC